rfam:Colinus virginianus strain Texas jcf7180006227252, whole genome shotgun sequence.
GCCCUUUUCCCCCACUCCUGCUGGCGUGCCCUACAGAGAAGCUUUCAGGCUCUUGGGGGAAAAGC